AUGUGGAGCUGUAAUAUAUUUAAAAAAAAAAAAGGCGGCCUCUCCCAUCUUUGCCAGCAUUUUGAGUUCGGAGUAGUCUCGCUCUCCAGAAAAACCUCUGGCCUCGGCUUCGAUCCCUCCAGCGAGCGCGAAGUCCUUCCUGAUCCGAAGGAUACUGGCGAUGGACCUGGCGAGUUUUUCCAGUGCGACUGGGAGGCUCAGGAAGCAAGAGGGACUUUCAAGAGGCUGAAUUCAGCUCCAGGACCCUCUUGGAAAACGGGAUACCCAGGCUUGUGGGCACAACGAAAGUGGUACCCGACCUGUGUGUCCCAGGGAGAGCCAGGAACCUGGUGCGGAGUCAUCUCGCGCAGGAUAUAACGGACUGCUGGACCCACUCAGACUGGUCACUCCAGUACUGGGGGGUGGGGAGUGGAGGGGAGGGGAAGGGGAGAAGCGAAGCCUCUCCUGCUGCUUUUGGACAGAUGAAUGAACUGGUAGAACUGGAAAGGAUGGGGCUUAGAGCCCUUCAGUGAACUGAAAGCAAUAGAGAACUCAAAGACAGGGCUUCUGCUUUCAUGGAGUUUACAGGCUAGUAGCCACAUGACUAAAAUAAAGAUGCACUCCGGAAAGGUGGAAAGAAUGGU
rnacentral:lncRNA from 1 species